rnacentral:rRNA from 1 species
ACCCCGCGUGGAGGAAGAAGGUUUUCGGAUCGUUAACUCCUGUCCUUCGAGACGAGUAGAAGACGGUAUCCAAGGAGGAAGCCCCGGCUAACUACGUGCCAGCACCCGCGGUAAUACGUAGGGGGCAAGCGUUGUCCGGAAUAAUUGGGCGUAAAGGGCGCGUAGGCGGCUCGGUAAGUCUGGAGUGAAAGUCCUGCUUUUAAGGUCGGAAUUGCUUUGGAUACUGUCGGGCUUGAGUGCAGGAGAGGUUAGUGGAAUUCCCAGUGUAGCGGUGAAAUGCGUAGAGAUUGGGAGGAACACCAGUGGCGAAGGCGACUAACUGGACUGUAACUGACGCUGAGGCGCGAAAGUGUGGGGUGCAAACAAAAUUAGAUACCCUGGUAGUCCACACUGUAAACGAUGAAUGCUAGGUGUAGGGGGUAUCGACUCCUUCUGUGCCGCAGUCAACACAAUAAGCAUUCCGCCUGGGGAGUACGGCCGCAAGGUUGAAACUCAAAGGAAUUGACGGGGGCCCGCACAAGCAGCGGAGCAUGUGGUUUAAUUCGACGCAACGCGAAGAACCUUACCAGGUCUUGACAUCCACUUAAACUUACAGAGAUGUAAGGUGUGCUUGCACAAAGUGAGACAGGUGGUGCAUGGUUGUCGUCAGCUCGUGUCGUGAGAUGUUGGGUUAAGUCCCGCAACGAGCGCAACCCUUAUCUUCAGUUACUAACGCGUGAAGGUGAGGACUCUGAAGAGACUGCCGGGGACAACUCGGAGGAAGGUGGGGACGACGUCAAAUCAUCAUGCCCCUUAUGACCUGGGCUACACACGUGCUACAAUGGCCACGACAGAGAGAAGCGAAAUCGCAAGGUAGAGCGGAACUCAAAAAAGUGGUCCCAGUUCGGAUUGUGGGCUGCAACCCGCCCACAUGAAGUCGGAGUUGCUAGUAAUCGCGGAUCAGCAUGCCGCGGUGAAUACGUUCCCGGGCCUUGCACA